rnacentral:rRNA from 1 species
AGAGUUUGAUCCUGGCUCAGGAUGAACGCUAGCUACAGGCUUAACACAUGCAAGUCGAGGGGAAACGGCAUUGAGUGCUUGCACUCUUUGGACGUCGACCGGCGCACGGGUGAGUAACGCGUAUCCAACCUUCCCAUUACUGUGGGAUAACCUGCCGAAAGGCAGACUAAUACCGCAUAGUCUUCGAUGACGGCAUCAGAUUUGAAGUAAAGAUUUAUCGGUAAUGGAUGGGGAUGCGUCUGAUUAGCUUGUUGGCGGGGUAACGGCCCACCAAGGCUACGAUCAGUAGGGGUUCUGAGAGGAAGGUCCCCCACAUUGGAACUGAGACACGGUCCAAACUCCUACGGGAGGCAGCAGUGAGGAAUAUUGGUCAAUGGACGGAAGUCUGAACCAGCCAAGUAGCGUGCAGGAUGACGGCCCUAUGGGUUGUAAACUGCUUUUAUGUGAGAAUAAAGUUAGGUAUGUAUACUUAUUUGCAUGUAUCACAUGAAUAAGGACCGGCUAAUUCCGUGCCAGCAGCCGCGGUAAUACGGAAGGUCCAGGCGUUAUCCGGAUUUAUUGGGUUUAAAGGGAGCGUAGGCCGUGGAUUAAGCGUGUUGUGAAAUGUAGACGCUCAACGUCUGAAUUGCAGCGCGAACUGGUUCACUUGAGUAUGCACAACGUAGGCGGAAUUCGUCGUGUAGCGGUGAAAUGCUUAGAUAUGACGAAGAACUCCGAUUGCGAAGGCAGCUGACGGGAGCGCAACUGACGCUUAAGCUCGAAGGUGCGGGUAUCAAACAGGAUUAGAUACCCUGGUAGUCCGCACAGUAAACGAUGGAUGCCCGCUGUUGGUACCUGGUAUCAGCGGCUAAGCGAAAGCAUUAAGCAUCCCACCUGGGGAGUACGCCGGCAACGGUGAAACUCAAAGGAAUUGACGGGGGCCCG